rnacentral:lncRNA from 1 species
CCAUAAUGAUAUAUACUACCUGCGACUGACUCGAACACUGAGUUGAGAAUAUCUAUUAAGAUAAUUACAUCUGGACUUCAUCCUUGGUAAUAUUCAACACACAAAUUGUAACUGAUGUUUUUAAAAUUCACGUGCAUACUAGAGUAGUUAAGGCAGUGAACGUUGUGUGUGAUUAUGUAUAUGUUUGUGUGUAUAGAUGUGCAGGUUAGGUUACCACUCUUAGCACAUGCCUUGUAAUCUAAAAGUUUCCAUUUAAAUAAUGUUAGAAAAACAUAUUUUUAAUAAUUUUUACCUGUUUUUGCUAAAAUGAACGUUGACUUGCACCGAAUAAUUGGAAAUCAACAGGUGGAAUGUUGUAGAAAGUAAAAAUGAAGUUGCAUGUUAUUUGCCAGGUGCUCUUUUCUCUCUCCCUUAUUAAAGUUAUUGGCUCCAAGCCAUGUAAGCUAUGUACUCUUGAAAAUCUUUUAUUCUUCCUUAAUAAGCUGUUAACUCCAAACCAUGUAUACUCUACAAGCUUUUUUGUUAUCAACAUAAACACGUUGAUUGUUUGUUGUUCUCACGCUCAGAUACGUCACGUAUACUUCUUUAUACGCGGUUACAUAUGCGAGUCCAAAAAAAUGCAACUGCGCAUCCAAAUCGCGCAUGGAUUGCUUUCUCAUAAAUUUCUGUCGUGAGCCGCGCGCGGGAUUGCUUUCCCAUAAGUUUCUGUCAUCAACGGCGCACGGGAUUGCUUUCUCAUAUAUUUCUUCAACUAUACGGCUAUUUAUGUAGCUCUAAAAAAUUUAUAACAUUUUUUAACAAAUGUUAGACGUUGUAAAAUAAAGGCAGUAUGAUACACGAAUCAAUCUGGAACAGAUUUAAAUAAAAUUUUUAUUUUGAAAAUCAAGUAACCUGCAUGAAGAAUAUUGUUUAAAUAUGGAAAACGAUAAAAAUUCUGAAAAUGUUCUGUACACAUGUGUUUCUUGUGAAAAAACUUUUAAAAGAAAGAGAGAUUUAAUAAUACAUGAAAGAAUACACUCAAAAAAUAAACCACAUAUAUGUACUAUAUGUAAAAAAAGUUUUACUCAAAUGGGAAAUUUAAAUGUGCAUAUCAAGAUCCAUGAUACUGUGAAAGCUUUUAAAUGCUUAAUAUGCGAAAAAAGUUUCAAAACAAAUGGGCAAUUAAAAGUACAUCAAAGUAUACAUAAAGGUUUGAAAAAUUACAGUUGUAAUGAGUGUAAUAAGAAGUUCUCCCAAAAUCAACAUCUACAAACUCAUAGAUUGACACAUACUGAUCUAUGUAACUUUACAUGUCAUAUCUGUAAUAAAACUUUUGUUAGAAAAGAUGUUUUGGAAAAACAUGUAAACUCACAACAUCCUAAAAAUGUUUACACAUGUAAUUAUUGUAAGAGAACAUACGUUAACAAAAAAUAUUUGGAAAAGCACAUUAUGGCUCAUAUGUCUGGAAAAGUUAAAAUUGUAAAAAUUCUUAAAACUCUAAGACCUCCAGUUUUAUCUGUACCCUUAUUAUAAAAUUAUUAAUUAUACUAUAUAUACACAAUAAAAAAAUAUUUGUUCAAAAACA